GAUGAACGCUGGCGGCGUGCCUAACACAUGCAAGUCGAGCGAACCCUUCGGGGUGAGCGGCGGACGGGUGAGUAACGCGUGGGUAACCUGCCCUAUACACACGGAUAACGUACCGAAAGGUACGCUAAUACGAGAUAACAUAUUUUUAUCGCAUGGUAGAAAUAUCAAAGCUCCGGCGGUAUAGGAUGGACCCGCGUCUGAUUAGCUAGUUGGUAAGGUAAUGGCUUACCAAGGCGACGAUCAGUAGCCGACCUGAGAGGGUGAUCGGCCACAUUGGAACUGAGACACGGUCCAA
rnacentral:rRNA from 1 species